GUGCUCCAUUCAACAGUACGUAUCCUAAAAUUGGAACCAUACAGAGAAGGUUAGCAUGGCCCAGAGAAAAGGCAAGUCACAGGGUUUCUUUUAGCAUUGCUGAGUUUU